rnacentral:rRNA from 1 species
AUUUAAUGGCCGCGGUAUCUUGACCGUGCAAAGGUAGCAUAAUCAUUAGUUUAUUAAUUGUAAGCUUGUAUGAAUGGUUUGAUGAAACAUUAUCUAUCUUUUUUAUAUAUUUUUGAAUUUAAAUAUUAAGUUAAAAUGCUUAGAUUUUUUUAUUAGACGAGAAGACCCUAUAGAUCUUUAUUAUUUAAUUUUUAAUUAUUUUGGUUUAUUUAUUGAUUGAUUUUUUUUUAAUUUGGUUGGGGUGAUGUUGGAAUAUAUUAACUUCUGAUUUUUUUAUACAUUUGUUUAUGAUUAUUUGAAUUUAUUUUAUUAUUUAAAGAUUAAGAUACCUUAGGGAUAACAGCGUAAUUUCUUUUGAGAGUUGUUAUUGACAAUGAAGAUUGCGACCUCGAUGUUGGAUUAAGAUUAUUUUUAGGUGUAGAUGCUUAAUUUAAUGGGUCUGUUCGACCCGUGAAAUCUUACAUGAUCUGAGUUCAAACCGGAG